rnacentral:rRNA from 1 species
UACAGAGGUCUCAAGCGUUAAUCGGAAUCACUGGGCUUAAAGGGUGCGUAGGCGGACUCGCAAGUGCUUUGUGAAAUCCCACGGCUCAACCGUGGAACUGCUUGGCAGACUGCGGGUUUCGAGGUUGGUAGGGGCCGCCGGAACUCUAGGUGGAGCGGUGAAAUGCGUAGAUAUCUAGAGGAACGCCAAAGGUGAAGACAGGCGGCUGGGCCAAUUCUGACGCUGAGGCACGAAAGCGUGGGGUAGCGAACGGG